rnacentral:lncRNA from 1 species
UGUAUGUCCGCAUCAGUUUCCCCAAUUGUUAAAUGGGAUUAUAAUAAUAUUUAAGGUUUGUUGUGAGAAUCAAAUGUGAUCAUAUUUGCAAAUACUCAGCACACAAUUCCUAACAGAUACUAGGCUCUAGAUACAUGCUUAUUCUCUUGCUUUGUUGUAGCUUACAGAAACUACUUCACUGAGUUAUGAAGAGGACUAAUGUCAAAUAGUUGUCUCUUUCCUAAUGUCAGGAGACGCUAGAGAAUGAUGGUGAACCUUUUAGAGAGAUGUAAAGAAACCUGAAGAAUGAAACAUUGUCUACAUAAUUAAAGCUAAGGGAGAAGAGCAAGAUUGAGUUAUUCCAUUCUUCAAAGCUUUCAGGAGGGUCAAUUGCUAAUGAUAUAACUAUGACACAUACUUAUACAAGAUAUCAUUGACAAUAAAAGCACAAUACAUGCUAUGAGGAGUGAUGAA